CCUACGGGAGGCAGCAGUGGGGAAUAUUGGGCAAUGGGCGCAAGCCUGACCCAGCAACGCCGCGUGAAGGAAGAAGGCUUUCGGGUUGUAAACUUCUUUUCUCAGGGACGAAGCAAGUGACGGUACCUGACGAAUAAGCCACGGCUAACUACGUGCCAGCAGCCGCGGUAAUACGUAGGUGGCAAGCGUUAUCCGGAUUUACUGGGUGUAAAGGGCGUGUAGGCGGGAGUGCAAGUCAGAUGUGAAAACCCAGGGCUCAACCCGUGGCCUGCAUUUGAAACUGUGGUUCUUGAGUACUGGAGAGGCAGACGGAAUUCCGGGUGUAGCGGUGAAAUGCGUAGAUAUUAGGAGGAACACCAGUGGCGAAGGCGGAUUGCUGGACAGAAACUGACGCUGAGGCGCGAAAGCGUGGGGAGCAAACAGGAUUAGAUACCCUAGUAGUC
rnacentral:rRNA from 1 species